rnacentral:rRNA from 1 species
GACGAACGCUGGCGGCGUGCUUAACACAUGCAAGUCGAGCGGUAAGGCCCUCGGGUACGACGAGCGGCGAACGGGUGAGUAACACGUGGGUGACCUGCCCUUACGCUCUGGGAGUAAAGCCUGGGAAAACGUGGGUCUAAUACCGGAUAUGACCUCAUGACGCAUGUUGUGGGGUGGAAAGCCUUGUGCGGCUAGGGAUGGGCCCGCGGCCUAUCAGCUUGUUGGUGGGGUGAUGGCCACCAAGGCGACGACGGGUAGCCGGCCUGAGAGGGCGACCGGCCACACUGGGA